AACUAACGCUGGCGGCGUGCCUAACACAUGCAAGUCGUACGAGAAAGUUGGCUUCGGCCGAUGAGUAAAGUGGCGCACGGGUGAGUAAUGCGUGGAUAAUCUGCCCUUUAGUUGGGAAUAACGUACCGAAAGGUGCGCUAAUACCUGAUAAUACUGCAUAACUACUGUUGUGUAGUCAAAGAAGGCCUCUGUUUACAAGCUUUUGCUGAAGGAUGAGUCCGCGUACCAUUAGCUGGUUGGUGGGGUAAUGGCCUACCAAGGCUACGAUGGUUAGCUGGUCUGAGAGGAUGAUCAGCCACACUGGAACUGAGACACGGUCCAGACUCCUACGGGAGGCAGCAGUGAGGAAUAUUGGUCAAUGGCGGAAGCCUGAACCAGCCAUGCCGCGUGCAGGAUGACGGCCCUACGGGUUGUAAACUGCUUUCCCGGGGCGAAUAACCCCUCGCGAGGGGAGUGCCGGUACCGGGGAAGUAAGGAUCGGCUAACUCCGUGCCAGCAGCCGAC
rnacentral:rRNA from 1 species